rnacentral:tRNA from 1 species
GGGCCAUUAGCUCAGCUGGUUAGAGCACGCGGCUCAUAACCGCAUGGUCCCGGGUUCGAGCCCUGGAUGGCCCACCA